rnacentral:tRNA from 1 species
GCGGUGCUCGGCGAGGUGCCCGUGCUGGUUCUCGGCCGGCGCGGUGACGUCCUGGCGUGGAACCCGCCGGGUCACGCCCUGUACGCCGGCC